ACAGAUUUUCAUCAAAGAUUCAGUCAGUUUGUCGAACAAGCACAUAUCGAAUCAACAAUCUUCAAGAUGUUCUCUUGUUACUUCAUGGCUCUUUGCGUCAUCGCAAUGUUCGCUGCUCUUGCCAUUAAAGUCAAUGCUGCUGGAGAGAAAGACCAAGAUGUCGAGUCUCGCAACCCUCUUGCUGUUCGUGCUGUCUUCAAUAUUCUCCAAUCUGGUUUCAAAUAGGCUGCCAGACUCCGCCUAAACGAAGCCGCUGAACAUUGCAAGCAGCACUGGAAGAACCCUAAGGCAGCUUUUAAAUGCGGCAAAAACUUCUUGGAAGCUAACAGAGGACGUUGCGCCGUCGGCAAAUAGAAUAUUUUAUUGCAAAAAAUUACAACUUAAUCCAUGACUUUCUAUUAAAAAGAGAAGAUUAUAUAAUUUAAUUACCCUAAAUUUGUAUCUUUUCAAUAAAUAUAUCCUAUCCAAAUAAGUU